rnacentral:lncRNA from 1 species
CAGUAUUCAUCACAUGUUUCUUUCAAAAAGAAUAAAAUAAAACAUUCGUUCACAUGUUCAUUUUUCAUAUAUGUAGCUUAUUGUAGCAUGUAAGAAAACAAAGAAACAAUGGAGGCCCCAACCAAUGAUCCAAGAACAGGCAAGGUUGUGGCAGCCAUGCUGGAAUCCGGUCCUGAUGCUGGAGCGGAACCAGGAGAGGAGCUAGGACUAGAACCACCGGCUGAAGGGGCAGGAGAUGGAGCACCGGCAGCCAUGACGGCGCUCAUUGAGGCGGCAGCAACAAUGAUGGCGGUGGAGACCUUCUUCAUGUCCAUGGCGUAUAAAGUGAUUAUUAAACGCACUGGAAAUGAAUGAGACCUGCGUUUAAUUACAGGGAUCCGCCGGUGAUUGUUAUUAUUUGCUUUGUUAUAUCAGGUCUGAAGAACAAUGAUGGUGGGGAGGAUCUUUUAUAGGUGAAAAUUCAUGGCUAUUUUUAGUGGCGAAAUUUUUUUUUUAAAUUACGUGUUUGGUUCUCGCAUGGUUUGCGGGAUAGACAUGCAAAUUUUUUAAAUAUUUUUUAAACGAUUUUGACUGGAUUUUUUAGAUAGGGGGAUUUUAAUAUUUUUUUAAGAGAAAGAGAGUAGUAAAUUAACUGUAAUUACAUCAACAUCAUCUUGCAAAUUAUUUAGAAUGGAAGUAUCAAUUGUUGGGGAGAAAAAACAAAUUAAUGGAGACCCAAUUAUAGUCAAAUAUCAUUUCAGCUAAAGCAUUAGUCACUCCAUUAGAUUUCCUUAAAUAUGCUUGAUGUGAACCGCGCAAAGCUCUUUUAUUCUGCAUACUAGUUCCCUUUUCACUCACCAUUAAUUGCUUGAACUAUAGUUAAACAAUCACAUUCUAAAACAAUCAAUUUCCACCCUUUAGACCAAAGCAAUUUAAGUCCACCAUAGAUUGGCCAAGGUUCUGCUUGUUAAACACUACAUUUUCCAAUAUUAUGAUCAUAGCCAAAUAUCCAUCUACCAUGGUUGUCUCUAGCAAACUCAGCUGAGCAGGCAAGUUUGGUAUAAAGUUUCCCUACACCGUCUGUGUUCAUUUUGACGCAAUCAAUUAUUGGUUGCUGCCAGGUGUUUGGUUUGAUUCAAUUUUUAACCUUAAUCAUUGGUUCCCUAUUAUGUUUAACAUUCACAACCCAACUCCAAGCCGAUCUUACAAGCAUACUAGAAUUAUGAGGAACAUUUUCAAAAACAAAAGAAAUAUUCCUUUGUUUCCAUACAAACUAGCAUAGUAUACCUAACAGGUGAUUCAAUUAAAAUCUUUGAAAUGUAAAUUUAGUUUAUUAGAAAGGUUGAAAUUCACCCAAGAUAAAAGUGACGGACAUAAGAACUUGGAGUAAAAUGAAUUCGGAAUGAACUACAUCCAUACUUCCUCAGCUUUGGAACAAUCAUUAAGUAUAUGAAAAAAAUUUAUUCUACAAAUCCAAAAAUGCAGCAACUGGCGUCAUCCGUCAAUCCGCGUCUUUCCAUACUAAUAUAUUUUAAUAGUAAAAUAGACCACAAAAUUAACUUGAGUCAAUUUGAAGUUUUUUUAAAAAUUCAGAAAAUACAAUUAUAAAACAAUUAUAAAUAUAUGUCCAAUCAAUUAUAGUAUAGAAUUCAAUUAAUUACAACUAUAAAAUAAAUACAAAUAUAUUUAAACACCCUUUUGUCUUCAUUCCUAUCUUCACCCUCUUUAGUGGUAGGAGGCAAAAGGAGGGGGUUGAUAAGGGCUUUACACCCUCUCUUAAAUGGGUUUAGACUCUCCAAAAUUCAUAAAAACAUAAGUUAAAUAUAAGGUAAACUGUAAAAAUAAUCACUUUUGUUUGUAUUAGAUUAUAUUUUAGUCAUUUAUAUUUGAAAUGUUACGUUUUAGUCAUUUACAUUAUCAUUUUGUUACGAAGUAGUGACUCUGCCGUUCAGCUCCGUUACCUCCCUAAAGACAAUCCUAUGUGGGAUAGUCACUUUUGUUUGUCUUAUAAUACAUUUUAGUCACUUCUAUUUGAAAUGUUAUGUUUUAGUCACUUGUAUUAUCGUUUUGUUACGAAGUAGUCACCGUGUCAUUCAUCUCCGUUACCUUCCUAACAACAAUCCUAGAUGGCAGUCUAAAUUGGUUUUAAAUGCCAACUUGGAUGUCCAACUGGGAUGAGAAUAGUUUUUGUUAAGACGAACGGUUUUUGUUUUCCAAUUCAAGGUGUAAUUAAUUUAAAAUUUACAAUUAAUUAAAUUUAGUUAAUUAAAAACCUAUUCUCGUACCAAUUAGGCAUCCAAGUUGACAUUUAAAAUCGAUUUGGACUACCACUUAGGAUUGCCGUUAGAGUGACCACUUUCUAACAAACGAUAACGUAACAUUUCAAAUAUAAGUGACUAAAAUGUAACCUAAGGCAAAUAAAAGUGACUAUUUUUAUAAUUUACCCAGUCUAAAUUGGUUUUAAAUGCCAACUUGGAUGUCCAACUGGGAUGAGAAUAGUUUUUGUUAAGACGAACGGUUUUUGUUUUCCAAUUCAAGGUGUAAUUAAUUUAAAAUUUACAAUUAAUUAAAUUUAGUUAAUUAAAAACCUAUUCUCGUACCAAUUAGGCAUCCAAGUUGGCAUUUAAAAUCGAUUUGGACUACCACUUAGGAUUGCCGUUAGAGUGACCACUUUCUAACAAACGAUAACGUAACAUUUCAAAUAUAAGUGACUAAAAUGUAACCUAAGGCAAAUAAAAGUGACUAUUUUUAUAAUUUACCCUUAAAUAUAUGAUAAAUUAUAAGUUAACCCCAAAAUUGCUAAGUUUUCAAUUUAAUCAUUUUAAAUACCAUAAAAUAUAAUUAAAUACGUAUUUUAACUCUAAUAAAAUAUAUACUUUAACCUUUAUUUCCCUAAAAAAAAAAUUUCCAACUUCCCCCUGCAUUUAUCUAUUUACAUACCAUUUAUUAGUUCAAUAAUUCAUUGUUAUUUUCAUGUUAUUAGUUGAAUAAAUCGAAAAGUAAAAGCAUAAAAACAAAAUACUUUUCAAAGCUCCAUUUCAAUUUUUUCAAUAUUCAUCACAUGUUUCUUACAAAAAAUAAUAAAUAAAAUAAAAUAUUCGUUCACAUGUUCAUUUUUGAUACAUGUAGCUUACUGCAGCAUGUAAGAAAACAAAGAAACAAUGGAAGCCCCAACCAAUGAUCCAAGAACAGGCAAGGUUGCGGCAGCCACGCUGGAAUCUGGUGCUGAUGCUGUGACGGAAGCAGGAGAGGAGCUAGGACUAGAACCACCGGCGGAAGGGGAAGGAGCAGGUGCACCGGCAGCCAUGACGGCGCUCAUUGAGGCAGCAGCAACAAUGAUGGCGGUGGAGACCUUCUUCAUGUCCAUGGCGUAUAAAGGGAUUAUUAAACGCACCGGAAAUGAACGAGACCUGCGUUUAAUUGCUGGAGAAUGGGGAUCCGCCGGUGAUUGUUAUUAUUUGCUUUGUUAUUGCAGGUCUGAAGAAGAAUGGUGUUGGGGAGGAUUAUUUAUAGGUGAAAAUUCAUGGCUAUUUUUAGUGACGAAAUUUUAAAAAAAAAAUUUACGUGUUUGGUUUUUGCAUGGUUUGCGGGAUAGACAUGCAAAUUUUUGAAUUUGUUUUAGCGAUUUUGACUGGAUUUUAUGGUUAGGGGAUUUUAUUAUUAUUAUUUUUUGGUAAGAGAAAGAGGAGUAGUAAAUUACAGAAUAAUAAUUACCUCAAUCAAUAUCAUUUUGUAAAUUAUUCAGAAUGGAAAUAUCUAUUUGUUGAGGGAUAAAGAUCAAUAAAUUCAUGUUGAUCCAAUUGAUAGUUAAACAUCAUUAUCAAUACAGGAGGAUGUGAGUUCGAGCGGGUUUAUCCUUCUAUUGAAAAGCUUGGAUGAGUUAUGGGUAGUUCUAAGCAUUGUAUCAACUUAUACUUUCACGGUUGAAUUAGAUUAUAAAAAAAAGGUACUAAGUAAGCUCCUGUAUUUAGGGUGUAUUGCAUUUCAGCCCUUUUACUAAAAUAGUGGCUAAAUUAGCCUUUAUGUAUUUCGAAACGUACAAAUUGGAUCAUCCUUUAAAUUUUAUCUAUUAAAUGAUGAUGUGGAACGUUAAAUCUAUGCUGAAAAUUAUUUUUUUAUAGGUAAACUAUAAAAAUGAUCCGUUAACUAUGUCUUUCGUUGUAUUCUAUUUUGGUCACCCACUUAUUAUUUUUUGUUUUGUUCAUAUCAAAUUAAUUAAUUUUUUAUUUCUUGAUUCAACCUAAAACUAUAUGGUUCUACAUUUUAAAAACAUUGAUUAAUAAUGACUAAGAAUUUUUCAUAAAUAAGACAUAUAAAAUAAAUUUUUGAAAAUUUUAUAUUUACAAAGAUGAAAAUCAAUCAAAACAUAGGAAAAAAAAACCCAAUUUCUUGUUUAAAAAAUCCAAUAAAAAUUUUAAAUAUAUAUUUAGAGAAAUAUGUUUUUAUUUAAUUUUAAAUAAUUUUUUUACAGCUUUUGUCUUGUUAGCUAUUAUUAAAUAAUCGAAUCAAUUUACUAUUUAAUCAAUUCAACCAACCAAUCUAAUGAAAUUUGAAGAAUUUGGUUUCUCAAGGUGGAUAUACACUUCAGUUCAAUUACUAUUUAUCAAUUGGGUCCUUAUUGGCUAAAAAUGAAUUUCUUUUAUACAAACAUAUAUUUAAAUUUUUAGAGGUAGGACUAAAUUGAUAGAUUUUAUAAAUAUUGAGGGUCAAAUUUAUUAUUUUUUUAAAAUUAUAAUUAAAAAAAUAAAUUUUGUAAACAUUGAGGACUAAAUUUGUUUAAUUUUUAUAUUUAAGAUCAAAUCGAUAGAAUGUAUAAAUAUUAGAGAGCUAAUUUUAUUACUAGACCAAUAAAAUAAGCCCACAUUUAUCUGAUUACAUACUAAUUAGUUCAAUAAUUCAUUGUUAUUUUCAUGUUAUUCAUUGUUUUGAAUAAAUGGAAAAGUAAAAGCAUAAACACAACAUACUUUCCAAAGCUCCAUUUCAAUUUUUUUCAUUAUUCAUCACAUGUUUCUUUCAAACAAUAAAAAAUAUAAUAUAAAAUAUAAUAUUCGUUCACAUGUUGAUUUUUCAUACAUGUAGCAUGUAAGAAAACAAAGAAACAAUGGAAGCCCCAACCAAUGAUCCAAGAACUGGCAAGGCUGUGGCAGCCACGCUGGAGUCUGGUCCUGAUGCUGGGGCAGAACCGGGAGAGGAGCUAGGAAUAGAACCACCGGCGGAAGGGGAGGGAGCAGGUGCAUCGGCAGCCAUGACGGCGCUAAUUGAGGCGGCAGCAACAAUGAUGGCGGUGGAGACCUUCUUCAUGUCCAUGGCGUAUAAAGGGAUUAAUAUUAAACGCACCAGAAAUGAACGAGACCUGCGUUUAAUUGCUGGAGAAUGGGGAUCCGCCGGUGAUUGUUAUUAUUUGCUUUGUUAUUGCAGGUCUGAAGAACAAUGAUGUUGGGGAGGAUCUUUUAUAGGUGAAAAUUCAUGGCUAUUUUUAGUGAUGAAUUUUUUUUUUAAAAUUACGUGUUUGGUUUUUGCAUGAUUUGCGGGAUAGACAUGCAAAUUUUUUAAUAUUUUUUAACGAUUUUUAGAUAAUGAGAUUUUAAAUUUUAAGAUUAAAUGAUAAUGAAUUUUUAUUUAAAUUUAAUUAAAUUAUUUGAAUAUGUUUUUUUCAUUAUUAUUUUUAAAAUUAUAAAUUUGAUUUCGACGGAUAUGAUUCUUUUACGAAACCUUAAUGGUAAAGUAAAGUGAGAGAUUCUAAAAAUUUAUAUGUAAAUAAUAUAUAAUAAGAUGUACAAUGAUAAAUGGUUGGAUGGUAAGUUUUUAUUGGGAUGAAUAUAAGACUAUGAAGGUAAAAUUAUUAGUUUAAGUUUCCGUAUUUGGGGAAGAUUGCAUUUUGGUCUUUUUAUUAAAAAAUGAGUAUAUUAGUCUUUAUAUAUUUCGAAAUGUACAAAUUAGCUCAUUAUGUUGAAAAUUAUCUUUUACGGGUAUAUAAAAAUUGUCACCCAAUCAUGUCUAUUGUUCUAUUUUGGUUACCCAACUAAAAAUUCAUUUGGAUUUAAGUUUACCUUGAACGUGGCACGAUUUGGCACUUUAUUGCCCAAUCAUGCUCAACUCAAUCACUUGGAUGCAUAAAUGGGAUUCAACUUCAUUGCACAGAGGCUUUACUUUUUCAUUGGAGGAUUACAACCCCACCAACUUUUUCUUUCCUUUUGUAUCUAAACCUAAUUAUGGGUCGAGUCACCUGGCUCGAAGACCCACUCGAAAAGUGAAAGGAUUUGUGCAAAAAUAUAGGCUCGAAAAAUGAGUUUAGGCAAAAAAAAAUAGGCCUGAUUUCUAAACGAGUCAGGCAUUGGGUAAACUUUUUUUGGCCUGGUCGAAUUUGUAAAAAAAACCUACUGCUUUUUGCUGCUAUUUUCACUGUUUUUGUUGUUGUUUUGCCACUAUUUUUGUGGCGUUUUGCUAUUAUAUUGCUAUUAUUUUGUUGUUAUUAAUUGAAUAUUGUAUAACUCUUAUUUUAUUGUAUUUGAUGUAUUAUUCUUUUUGAAUUUAUUUUUAUAUAAAAAUAAUAAUAUAAAAAAUUUUAAUACAGACAGCCCGCGCCAGACUCGGGUUUUAGCAUUUUUAUUCAGGUCAAAUUUGGGCAAAAUUUGCCCAGUUUUCAGGUCGGGUUGAAUCCAAGCACAUACUCAAUUGUUAUUUUUAACCUCAUCGGAACUAAACAAACUAAACCUUGUCAGAUACAUAAAUCAUACAGGGUUAGCAAGGCCUCGGCCUCCCCUAAAAUGAAAACUUUUUUAUUUAGGCCCCUUUGUAAUUUAUAAAAUUUUAAAUUAACAAUAAUAAAAUAGUGAAAUUACAGUUUUACUAUCAUAAAAAUAUAAAACAAUUUUAUUUGUUGGUCUAAAAUUUUAUACAUAUUAGAAUUACAAAAGGAUGAAAUUGUUACAUGCUGGUUAUUAGUUCAAUAAUUUAAUGUUAUUUUCAUGUUUAAAACUUAAAAAGUUAAUUCAACUACUUUAAUUUAUCGUAAUUUUAAUUUCGGAAAUCAAAACGUAAAACAUAAACACAAAAUAUUAUUCAAAGCUCCAUUUUAUUCAAUUUUAUUCAAUAUUCAUCACAUGUUUCUUUCAAAAAAAAAUAAAAUAAUAUAUUCGUUGACAUGUUCAGUUUUGAUACAUGUAGCUUACUGCAGCAUGUAAGAAAACAAAGAAACAAUGGAAGCCCCAACCAAUGAUCCAAGAACUGGCAAGGCUGCGGCAGCCACGCUGGAAUCCGGUCCUGAUGCUGGGGUGGAACCAGGAGAGGAGCUAGGACUCGAACCACCGGCGGAAGGGGCAGGAGAUGGUGCACCAGCGGCCAUGACGGCGCUCAUUGAGGCAGCGGCAACAAUGAUGGCGGUGGAGAUCUUCUUCAUGUCCAUGGCGUUAUAAAAAAGGGAUUAUUAAACGCACCGGAAAUGAAUGAGACCUGCGUUUAAUUACUAGAGAAUGGGGAUCCGCCGGUGAUUGUUAUUAUUUGCUCUGUUAUUGCAGGUCUGAAGAAGAAUGAUGUUGGGGAGGAUCAUUUAUGGUGAAAAUUCAUGGCUAUUUUUAGUGACGAAAUUAAAAAAAAAGAAAAAAAGAAAUACGUGUUUGGUUUUCGCAUGGUUUGCGGGAUAGACAUGCAAAAUUUUGAAUUUUCUUUAACGAUUUUGACUGGAUUUUUAGGCUAGGGAAUUUAAUUUUUUAAGAGAGAAGAGUACUAAAUUAGAGAAAAAUAAUUAAAUCAAUAUCAUCUUGUAAAUUAUUCAGAAUGGAAGUAUCAAUUUGUUGGGGAGAAGAAGUAAAUUCAUGGAGACUCAAUUGAUAGUCAAACAUCAUACCAACUAAGGCAUUAGUCGCUCCAUUAGAUUCCUUAUAAAUAUGCUCGAUUCAAACACCUAUGUUCGAGCGUAAAGCUCUUUUAUUCUGCAUACCAGUGCCUUGUUCAAUACGCCUUUAUAUUCAUCAUUGAUUGCUUGAAUUGCAAUUAAACAAUCACAUUCCAAAACAACAAGUUUUCACCCUUCAAACCAAAUCAGUUUAAGUCCACUAUAGAUUGCCCAAAGUUCUGCUUGUUCAAUACUACAUUUCUCAAUAUUGUGACCGUAGCCAAAUAUCCAUCUGCCAUGGUUGUCUCUAACAAUCCCAACUGAGCAGGCAAGUCCAGUAUGAGGUUUCCUUACACCGUCUGUGUUCAUUUUGACACAACUAGCUAUUAGUGAGUGCCAGGUGCUUGGUCUGAUUCGGUUUUUAACCUUAAUCUUUGGUUCCCUAUUAUGUUUAACAUUCACAACCCAACUCCAAGCCAAUCCUACAACCAUACCAGAAUUACGAGGAACAUUUUCAAAAACAAAAGAAUUCCUUUGUUUCCAUACAAACCGACAUAGGAUACCGAAUAGGGUGUUCCAAUUAACAUCUUUGAAUUGUAAAUUCGGUUCAUUAGAAAGAUUGACAUUCACUCAAGAUAAAAGUGACGGAGAUAAGAACCUGGAGUAGAAUGAAUCCAGAAUGAACUGCUUCCAUACUUCUUGAGCUUAGAAUAUUUUCUUCUGCAGAUCCAAAAUGCAGCAACUAGUGUCAUCCGUCAGUCUGCGUCUGCAUCUUUCCACGUUUGAGAGGAGUCGCUUGUUGUUCCAAUAGGGUCGGAAGCGUGUAAAUUAUUGUACUAAAAAAUCACACAAAGUUCAAUUCCCAGGGAAGAGAGGUGGAUCACAAGGAUCUCUUAAAUACCAAGUCUUUCCUUAGUCAGAAUAUUCCUUCUAACGUAAUUUAAUAGCACAAUUAAAUACUACUAUUAUACCCUCAAAUAUUGAAAGAAAAAUAGGACAAAAAGAACACAAGAGUUUUAACGAGGUUCGGUAAAUUAUACCUACGUCCUCGGGCACUAACACCAGAUGAUAACUUUACUAUCUCCAAAAUAUUACAAACAAAUAGAAUUCCUUAAGAAUUCUCAAAUGGGAGAAGAGAGAAAACUAAGAGAGAAAGAUUGGUUGGGAUGGUUGAAAUGAGAAAUGGUUAGGCCUAUUUAUAGUUGAAGUUCAGGGACUAACUUGCAAAUGACCUAAAAAAUUAGGGACCAAAAUUGCAAUUAUCCCUUUCAACUUUAAACAACUUGCCAACUAUUUUUUUUCUUUCGGUGCCAAUUGCACCUCCCACCAUUUUUGACUUUUCAACCCCUUUUUAAUUUAACUUAUCAACAAUCUCCACCUUGAAGAUUUGAUUAGGAUAAUCACAUCUUCACACACUUCCUUCAACUCCCCAAAUUUGAUAAAGCUAUCUUUUGUAGUGCCUCCAAAUGCGCUCUCGAGCGCCAUACACCUAAAGGUGCUCAAAUUCUCAGGAUGUUAAUCAAGUUCAAACAAUGAUUAAACUUGAUUGUUGUUACCACCUUGGUCAUCAUAUCUGCGGGAUUAUCUGUUGUCGGAAUCUUCUCAAGUAGAAUUUUUCCUUUUUCAAAGACUUCCCACACAAAGUGAUAUCUUACGUCGAUAUGCUUGGUUCUUGAAUGAUAGACUUGAUUUUUCGCUAAAUGAAUAGCGCUUUGACUGUCACAAUAUAGACUAAUGUGACUUUGAACAACUCCCAAGUCUUUCAAUAAUCCAUUAAGCCAAAUAGCCUCCUUAACAGCUUCUGUAACUGCCAUAUAUUCUGCCUCUGUAGUAGACACAGCUACUGUAGACUGUAAGGUAGACUUCCAACUCACUGGGGCUUUCGCAAGAGUAAACAGAUACCCCGUAGUUGAACGACGUUUAUCUAAAUCACCAGCAAAGUCGAAAUCAACAUAUCCAACUACAAACUGACCAAGUGCUUUAUCUUGUUCAAAAAUUAAACCAACAUCUACGGUUUUUCGAAGAUACCGUAGAAUCUAUUUCACAGCUUGCCAAUGUCCUUUUCCAGGAUCAUGCAUAUACCUGCUCACAACUCCAACAGCUUGUGAAAUGUCAGGCCUCGUACACACCAUCGCAUACAUCAAACUCCCAACUGCAUUAGCAUAUGGGACUUUCGCCAUAUAUUCUCUUUCAUCUUCAGUCUUCGGAGAUAAUUGAGCACUAAGUUUCAAAUGAGAAGCAAGUGGGGUACUUACAUGUUUUGUGUUUUCAUUUACACCAAAACAUUGUAAUACCUUUUUCAGAUAUUGCUUCUGAUUUAAACAGAGCUUGCCUCUCGGUCUAUCUCUACUUAUCUCCAUGCCGAGAAUCUUCUUGGCCUCACCUAGAUCUUUCAUCUCGAACUCUUGAUUCAACUGAGCCUUCAGCUUAUCUAUCUCAUUUUGGCUCUUCGAAGCGAUUAACAUAUCAUCAACAUACAAGAGUAGAUAAAUGAAAGAUCCGCCAUGCAGCUUCUGCAAAUACACACAAUUGUCAUAUUUGCUUCUUGUGUACUCCUGCCUUCUCAUAAAGCUAUCAAAUCGCUUGUACCACUGCCUCGGGGAUUGCUUCAAUCCAUAUAGCGAUUUGUUAAGCUUACAAACCCAAUUUCUACCACCAGCAUCUGUGUAUCCUUCUGGCUGAGUCAUAUAGAUCUCCUCUUCUAACUCACCAUGCAAGAAAGCCGUCUUAACAUCAAGUUGAGCUAGCUCCAAAUUCAACUGUGCUACCAAGGCCAACAAAAUUCUAAUGGAGGAAUGCUUCACAACAGGGGAAAAUACAUCAUUGUAGUCAAUUCCCUCCUUCUGAGCGUAGCCUUUAGCUACCAAUCUUGCCUUGUAGCGAAUAUCCUUCUUGCUAGGAGAUCCAUCUUUCUUUGCGAAUACCCACUUGUAUCCGAUUGCCCUUUUACCUUUCGGUAAUUGCGCCAACUCCCAAGUAUUAUUCUUCCGGAGAGACUGCAUUUCUUCAUCCAUGGCGCUUUUCCAUUUAUCACUUUCUAAGCUUUGCAUUGCUUCUUGAUAAGUGAUAGGAAUAUCAUCAACAACGGGAAGGGCGUAGGCCACCAUAUCAGUAAAUCGAGCAGGUUUACGAAUUUCUCUCCGUGGCCUUGCAACUGCAACUGGUUCUGGUGUACUUAGUGGUUCUUGGGUCAGAACCUCUUCAACCUCUAAUUCCUCCAUUGUGGCUGGAGAAUUAGACUUAUUAACUGGGCAAAUCCCCAUCUGCUCAAACUCCACCUGUUUUGGAGUACACUCCACCUGCUGUGGAGUAUUGCUCGUCUGAAUAUCUUUAUCUGCUACCUUUUUCAAUGUGGCAGAUUCAUCAAAGGUAACAUCUCUGCUACAGAUCAUUUUCUUUGUGCUUAAGCACCAAAGACGAAAUCCCUUCACUCCAGAAGUGAUUCCCAUAAAGAGAGCUUUCUUUGCCCUCGGAUCUAACUUUGACUCCUUCACAUGGUAAUAUGCAGUGGUUCCAAACACAUGUAAGGAAUCAUAAUCUGUAGCCGGUUUUCCAGACCAUACCUCCAUAGGAGUUUUUCUUUCUAAUGCAGAUGAUGGCAAACGAUUAACAAGAUGGCCAGCGUAUGUCACAGCCUCAGCCCAAAAUUGCUUGCCCAACCCAGCAUUGGACAACAUACAUCGAACUUUCUCCAGCAAUGUUCGAUUCAUACGCUCUGCCAAUCCAUUCUGCUGUGGUGUAUCCCUAACUGUGAAGUGUCGAAUAAUACCAUACUCUUGGCACACAUCGAAGAACGGAUCACUUUUAUAUUCCCCUCCAUUGUCCGUCCUAAGCCGCUUGAUUUUCUUGCCAGUCUGGUUUUCGAUCAUAGUUUUCCAUUUAAGAAAAACUCCAAGCACUUCAUCUUUAGUUUUCAUGGUAUACACCCAAACUCUUCUGGAAAAGUCAUCAACAAAAGUAACAAAGUAGUGUUUUCCUCCCAAUGAAGGUGUUUUGGAAGGCCCCCACACAUCUGAGUGAAUAUAUUCCAAAAUACCUUUUGUAUUAUGGAUAGCAGUGCCGAAUUUCACUCUCUUUUGCUUUCCCAGAACACAGUGCUCACAAAAUUUUAAUUUGUAAGCCUUUGCACCUUUCAACAAUCCUUGCUUUGCCAGAAUUUGCAAGGAUUUUUCGCUGGCAUGUCCCAACUUCAUAUGCCACAACUGCAUUGAGUCCAAGUCUUUGUUACCGGAAGCUGCAGCGACUGCUCCAAUAACUGUACUACCUUGGUAGUAAUACAAGUUAUUUUUCCUGAUGCCCUUCAAUAUCACAAGUGCGCCAGAUGUCACUUUCAAAACCCCAUCUCUCAUAGUAACAACUGAACCAUUGGAUUCCAAGGCUCCCAAUGAGAUGAGAUUUUUCUUCAAACUGGGCACGUACCGAACAUCAGUCAGAACUCUGGUUGAUCCAUCUUUAUUCUUUAAUUGGAUUGAACCUAUCCCAACAGUUUUACAGGCAUUGUCAUUGCCCAUAUAAACAACUCCUCCAUUUAGUUCUACUAAAUCAGAGAACCACUCCCGGUUAGGGGACAUAUGAUAGGUACAACCCGAAUCUAAUAUCCACUCAUCUGAAUGGAACGACGAUGAUGAUGCAACCAGUGAUAGUUCAGAGUCACUAGUAUCAUGCUUAGCAACACAAGCAUCUACAGCAGCUUUUCCCUUAUUCUUCAGCUUUGGACAAUUUUUCUUCCAGUGGCCUUUCUCAUGACAAAAAGCACAUUCAUCUUUCCCGAGUCUGGACUUUGACUUUGAUCUCCCCUUUUGAGUUUUCUUCCGAGUGUAUGAACGACCUCGGACUAGUAAAGCUUCUGUAUCUCUGAUUGAGUUUUUCUGUUUGUCCUUCUUUCUCUGUUCAUAACUGUAUAAGGCCGCACAGACUUCGCUCAGAGAUAUAUCACUCCUGCCAUGAAGUAGAGUAGUUUCUAGGAACUCAAACUCCUCAGGAAGUGACCCCAACAGCAUCAAAGCCAAAUCUUCAUCUUUGAAUGUCUCAUCCAUAUUCAGCAAAUCAGUGACUAACUGAUUAAAUUUGGUGAUGUGAUCAUUCAUUGUGGUACUUGGGACGUAUGUGAAGCAAAACAGUCUUUUCUUCAAGUGGAGCUUAUUUUGACUGUUUUUCUUCAAAAAUUUUUCUUCAAGUGCCACCCACAACUUAUUUGCAGAAGUCUCCUUUGAAAAAGCAUACCUCUGCUCUCGAGAAAGGCAUGAUCGAAUUGUGCCACAUGCCAACCGAUUGAUCGCCUUCCAAUCUUUCUCCUGUACAUCAUCUGGUUUCUCUUCAUCAAUGGCAAUGUCUAGACCCUGCUGAAAAAGGGCAUCUAGAACCUCACUUUGCCACAUACCAAAAUGGCCCGUGCCAUCAAAGAUCUCCACGGCCAAUCUUGCAUUUGCAAUUGUCGGUCUUGUCCACAUGGACGAUGUUGAAGCUCCUACACCGACCGUUUUCUCCAUAAUCUUUCAAUAUACCUAAGGAAAUCUUUUCUGAUGUGGAAGAUCAGUUUAAACUGCAACCACAGAGCAUACUACGAUUAACCUUCGGCUCUGAUACCACUUGUUGUUCCAAUAGGGUCGGAAGCGUGUAAAUUAUUGUACUAAAAAAUCACACAAAGUUCAAUUCCCAGGGAAGAGAGGUGGAUCACAAGGAUCUCUUAAAUACCAAGUCUUUCCUUAGUCAGAAUAUUCCUUCUAACGUAAUUUAAUAGCACAAUUAAAUACUACUAUUAUACCCUCAAAUAUUGAAAGAAAAAUAGGACAAAAAGAACACAAGAGUUUUAACGAGGUUCGGUAAAUUAUACCUACGUCCUCGGGCACUAACACCAGAUGAUAACUUUACUAUCUCCAAAAUAUUACAAACAAAUAGAAUUCCUUAAGAAUUCUCAAAUGGGAGAAGAGAGAAAACUAAGAGAGAAAGAUUGGUUGGGAUGGUUGAAAUGAGAAAUGGUUAGGCCUAUUUAUAGUUGAAGUUCAGGGACUAACUUGCAAAUGGCCUAAAAAAUUAGGGACCAAAAUUGCAAUUAUCCCUUUCAACUUUAAACAACUUGCCAACUAUUUUUUUUCUUUCGGUGCCAAUUGCACCUCCCACCAUUUUUGACUUUUCAACCCCUUUUUAAUUUAACUUAUCAACAUCGCUCUUAUAAAAUUAGCCAUAAAAAUUGUCGAACACAUUGCGAACCACCAUAGGACCAAGAAAGUUCCCAUUUAUUGUCCGAACUAUUCCAGGAAUCAUGAGAUAAGAAAGUAUAGGCUAUUUUAACAGUUAAGUCUCCAUUCAUAGACCAUUUAGAUACUAAUGAAUUCGAUCCAGCAAGUGCACGAGGGGGUAGAACACCAGCUUUUUUGUCAAAAAAAGGUUCGUCCAAAUGAUUUCUAAUAUACCUCCAAUUCCAUUCACCGUCAUUUCUAACCAAAUCUUAGAGGAUGGGAUUAUCAUCUCGAGCCAUAUUAUUCGGAUCAUGAAGUAUCAAAGGACCUACCUCAGGAAUCCAAUCAUCAACCCAAAAUUUGACUGAAUUCCCAUCUCCUAUGGACCAACAGAGGCUAUCUCGUAAGAGAGGUCAAACUUUUGCAAUGGACUUCCAUACAAAAGAGCUUAUGUUGCACGUAAUUACCAAUGGACAUACCUCCUGAAAUUUGUAUUUAUCUCUUAUCACUUGAACCCAUAAAGCAUUCUUGUUAGUACUGAAAUUAAAGCCCAACUUUAAGAGGAAAGACUCAUUUUACUGCCUUAAAUGUCAAAGACCCAGUCCUCCAUUAGCCCGAGGUUGGUAAUAGUUAUCCCAUUGCACUAAUGUUGGUUUAGAUCUUAAGGAAGAACUCCCCCAAAUAAAACUCAUUGAAAUACUAGGUAUCAAAGUUGUUUUGUAACAACCUAUUUUCAAUGGUACAAAAAAUGAUAGUUUUAAAAUUCCAUUUUCUGAGGACUAAGUCAGCAAAUAUUAUUUAAUAAUAUUUAUGAAUGGUUUAUAUUAUUAUAAUGGUUAUUAGUUCAGAAAUUUUAUUGAUUGAUUAGUAAUUAGUAUAGAGACUAAAUGUAAAAACUGUAAAAGUUGAAUUUAAGUGGAUUGUUUAAUUAGUUGAGUAUGAUUUAAUUAUUGGAGGAUUUGUUUGACAAUAAGCCAAUUUUGGACAUAAUGGCUUGCCAUGGAAUUAGUUUAGUUGAAAUUUUAUAUUGAUUUUUAGUUAAAAAACAUAAAAAUUAAAAGGUUUAAAAUAAUAAAACAUGGAAAGUGCCAUCAUCUUCCUCAUUUUUCUUAUUCUCCUACGAAAACAACAUUUUUGGAGCUAGGAGAGUUCAGCCAUUUCACAACCUUCCAUGUAGGUAUAUUUGAGCUUGGUUUUUUGUAAAUUUUAUAUUUUUGUAAUCGUUGUAACUUAAAUCUAGCUAUAUUGUACCUCCGUUUUUAAAACUGUUAAAGAUUUUAAAUGCCACCAUUAGAGAUAAUUGAAGCUUUUGGUUGUUAAAAUGGUGCUUUAAAAACUUAGGAAUGGAAAAAUGAUUAAAUUGUGAAGCUAAUUGUUAGUUUUGAGUUUAGGGACUAAAUUAUGAAUAAAUUGAAAUUGUUAUAUUUUUUUGUAAAUUGUGGUAAUAGGAGGCUGUAUAGGGACAUAUUUGAAGUGGGUUUAAAUUUUGGAGUUUAAAUUCGGAAGAUAUGAUAAGUUUGGUUUUAGGGACUAAAUUGAUUAAAAUGAAAAACUUUAGGGGAAUUUGGAUAAUAAAAUUGAGCUGAUUUAUGCUUAUAAUAGGGUGAAAUAAGAGGAUUGAAAUUGAUAAAUUGAAUUGAACAAUUGUAUAGCUAAAAAAUUAGACCAAAUCAGAAGUAAUCGUGGAAAAAAAGGCAAAAUUAUUGAUUAGUCCUUAGAGACUUGACCGUUUUCUAUUUGUCCAGAUAAGUUCAUAUGGUAGGAUUAUACUUAAUUUUCUAUAUAUUUGAAUUAUGAUUUUGAGUAUCUUGAUAGUAAAUUAAAUUGUUUGCAAUUUGGUGCAAAGAGGUGAGGUAUGAACUAAAUCGUAAGGAAUUGAACAAUUAAUUGAAAAUUGAAAUAAUUAAGGAAAUAACCUUAAAUUGGACUGAAAUAGGAUAUAUUAUGUGAUAAAGUGAUUAUUUGAGGAAAUGAGCUAAAAUGAUUCGAUUUAGAUCGGUUGAAAGUGAUAAUGACGGAAUUGAAUAUAUGUGAAAAUAUUAUAUAAUUUUAUAAAUGUGAAAUUGAAUCAGUAUUGUUAUGUGUUAUGCUAUCAUAUUUGAGAAUUGAUGAUCGGUUAAUGAAAUUAUGUAAUGAAAUUGAGAAAUUGUUAUUCUUAUUAAUUGUUUGGGUAGAGUCAGAUAUAGUUGGAGUGUCGAUGAGGCACUGGGUGCCAAACUACUUCAGUUAUACCGAUGAGGCACUGGGUGUCAAACACAUUGAUGAGCACUGGGUACAAACUAUUUACUUUGACAUUGUCUGAUAAGGCACUAGGUGUCAAAUUGGUAUGAUAGGUGGGAUUCAUAUAUCCGUUCAAGUCUGAGUUAGAUUAAUAGGGGUAUAAAAAGAAAUUUUGAUAAAUGAUAUUUAAAUUGGGUUGAUAUAAUGAUUUGAUGAUUUGUAUACAUAAUGCGAUCUAUAAAUAUCGAUGGUAUGUGAAAAAUUAUACGAAACAGUUAUAUAAACCUAGAAGGCCGAUAUAGAAAUGUAAUAAAUCAAAGAAUUCGGUUCGAAAUUCAAAAUAAGGAAAUGAAAUGGUAAUUGACAUUAGAUUGAAAUUGAAUGUAUAAUAGAUAAAUAGAUGGAAUGAUCUGAUAUUAUAAGAAUGAUGUUCAUAUGGUUAAAUGUUGAUUUGGUUUUUAGUAUGGUAUUGAAAUGUGAUUCUAAGUGAUUUGGUUUAUUUCAUAUUGAAAUGUUAUAUGAUGAGGUUAAAUGUUAACUCACCUUUUUUAUUUUUGAUUUGUCAUGUUACUAAGCAUUGUAUAUGUUUACCUCUUUUAUUUUCCCUUUCCUUGUAGAUUGUCAAUUUGUAGAACACAUCAAGCGAAUCAUCCAAAGCUCACAUUAUCCUGGUAUGUGUUCAGUAGUCUUUAGACCGCAUUAAGGCCCGAUUAUGUAAGGCAUGUACUUAGGACUCGUUUUGGUUUACUUGCAAAGUGAUAUGGCUUGAAAUCUAUGUUGAUAGAAUUAUGACAAAGAUAAUGCUUAAUGGAAAACAUAUGCAUUAGUAAAUGGAUUGAAUUGUGCAUUUGACAUUUGAAAUGGCAUUUGGGUAUGCGAUUACAUAGGUAAUAUAAUGUUAUGAAAUGGUUAAAAGGCUUGGCUGAUUAGGUUGAGUUUAUUUAAGCUAAUUUGAUAUGUUAUGAUGCCAAAUUGUGGAAAUAUUGAAUUAGUUUAUUUGAAAUGGUGAUAUAUGAUGUUUUGACAAUGGUAUGAAUUAUGUGUUUAUAAUAUGUUGUGAUGUUUUUAGUGGUUAAUGAGUAAGAGAUAACAUGAUAGGUUAUUAAAGAGUAUUGAAUGAUUUUGAUACCUUGUGUGAAAAUCAUGAUGGCAGUUACAUGAUGAUGAAUAAAUAGGUCUAGUAGGUGACUUAAUUUGAAGGAUGAGUAGUAAUGGAUUGUUAUAGUUGCAUGAUAAUUGAAUUUGCACUAGUAAAAUGGAAUAAGCCUAGAUUUUGUCUAGUUGAUUUGGUUAGUAUAUGUUUUAAUGUUAGAAUAGGGAAUGAGUUGGAUGUAAUGGACCAUGAUUGGAAUAGUGUAACAUUCAUUCACUUUUGGUUGAUGUUACGUCCAUGAUGUAGUACCCUUGAUGUUUGUGGUUAAAUUAGUAUAUUUAAUUUUAAUUUUUUAUGUUAUAUGACAGAUUUUGGAGUGCUUAUUGAUACUAGCAUAGGCAUUUUUAAAAGUGGUAUUUGACAAUUCUGUGCAAAAGUACUUAUACUCUGGUAUUAAUUAUCGAUACUUGAUCAUAUGAACAAUUUUCUUAAAACAAAUAGUUUUAUUAUUCGGUAUCAAUACCAAAUAAAGUAUCGACACCAAGCAAUUAAGUAUGGAUACUAACUCUAAUAUUUUGAAAAUUUACAAUUCAACCCUAUUCAUGCUCAAACUUUACAAUUAAACCAUUGUAUGUUCUAAUUAUGGGAAUUGGAACGCAUUCGUAUUUGUAAUUGUAUGUUUUGAAUUUUUAUACAAAUUAUUUAUCGACAGUUGCCUAUCAAUGAAUGUGACAUCACGUUAUUCGGAUUUGACAUAAUAGGGUGUUACAUGUUUGCAUAAAAUAAUUGGGGAUUGACAUAAGAAUAGAUUGUACCAAAGUAACACGACCCGCCAUCGAAAUAAGUUUAGCGUCCCAACUAUCAAGUAAUCUAUAGACCCUAUCAAGGACAAACUUAAAGGUACUAAUAGUGAUACACUGUGAAAGGCGAUAUUAGCAGGAGUAUUCUUUGAAAAGAAAAACAUUGGUCUUUUGGGCAUUAACUUUGUGAUCCGAGAAAAGUCAAAAAGUUCUAAAUUAUUUUAACAACUUUUACUUGUUCUAUAUCAGCUUCAAUAAACAGGAACAAACCAUCCGCCUCUAGGGCAUGCUUGCAAUAAAAAGAUUAGUUUCCAAACCCUCUCUCCAACCAAUUUAUGAAUAUAUUGUCCCAAUCUUUCCAUACAUAGAAUAAAUAAAUAUGGAGAUAAAUGGCACCCCUACCUAAUACCUCUCAAAGGUUGGAACUCAUCCGAUAAAACACCACUCCACAGAGUUUGCAUACAAUCUGAAGAAAUGCGUUCCAUAAUAAUUUGAGAUAUUCCAUGAGGAAUGAAACGUAGUUGGUGCUAGACCAAGAGUGUUAAAAUGCAUGACGAGAGAAUCCCGCAAUUUAAAAAUGUUUCAAGAGAUGGGUGGGCAUUGGGCUCCACCUCUUGGAUCAAACUUAAUAUAGAUGGUGGCAUGGUGCUUUAAAGACAUGGGUUGGUCUUGCUUCAGUAGGAGGUGUUGUAUGUAAUUGUAGAGGCGAAUGGAUGCUAGGAUAUUGCAUAAGCCUUGGGUAGUUUAAUGUCCUUGAUGUGGAGCUUUGAUGUCUUUUUGAUGGCUUACAGUUAAUGUGAGAAAGGGGUUCGAAAAUGUACUAGUUGAAUGUGGUAGCUUGGAAGCGAUCUCGGUUAUAUUGAGCAGUAAGUCUAAAUCUUGUGGAUCGACUCUAGUGUGACAAAUACGCAAAUUGGUGGAACAUUGGGUGGUACCACCAGAAAACUUGUGGUGCAAGAAACAAAAUAAAGUAAAAUAAGAGAUUUGAGAUGUGAAUUACUUUCUUUAAAGUUUAAUUUUACCUCUAGAAUACAAAAUUUAGGAGUAACAUAAUUUGAGUUUUUAUGUAGGCACAGGAUGAUUCCAAGAUAUAUUCUUUUUCAAGGGUAAAUUAUCCAGAUGGACAUCCAACUUUUCAAAUGCUUUCAUUUUAGUUACCUCCAUUACGACAAUCUUCCAUUUUGCGUCUGACAACACGUAAGAAAACAUAAACACAAUAUUAUUCAAAGCUCCAUUUUAUUCAUUUUUUUCAAUAUUCAUCACAUGUUUCUUUCAAAAAUAAUAAAAUAAUAAAAUAUUCGUUGACAUGUUGAUUUUUCAUACAUGUAGCUUACUGCAGCAUGUAAGAAAACAAAGAAACAAUGGAAGCCCCAACCAAUGAUCCAAGAACAGGCAAGGUAGCGGCAGCCACGCUGGAAUCCGGUCCUGAUGCUGGAGCGGAACCAGGAGAGGAGCUAGGACUAGAACCACCGGCUGAAGGGGCAGGAGAUGGUGCACCGGCAGCCAUGACGGCGCUCAUUGAGGCGGCAGCAACAAUGAUGGCGGUGGAGACCUUCUUCAUGUCCAUGGCGUAUAAAGUGAUUAUUAAACGCACCGGAAAUGAGAGGGACCCGCGUUUAAUUACCGGUGAAUGGGGAUCCGCCGAUGAUUGUUAUUAUUUGCUUUGUUAUUGCAGGUCUGAAAAACAAUGAUGGUGGGGAGGAUCUUUUAUAGGUGAAAAUUCAUGGCUAUUUUUAGUGACGAAGUUUAAAGGAAAAAUUACGUGUUUGGUUUUCACAUGGUUUGCGGGAUAGACAUGCAAAAUUUUGAAUUUUUUUUAACGAUUUUUAGGUAAGGGGAUUUUAAAAUUUAAGAUUGAAUGAUAAUUUAUUUCUAUUUAAUUUUUUUUUAAAUCGUAAAAUUUGAUUUGCACGGAUAUGAGAGAUGGAAUUAAGGUCUAUUAAUUCCAUAGAUUUUAUAUUUAUUAAUUUUGAAUGGAUUUUUUUAACUAAAAUUUAAAUGAUAGAAGUAAAGUGAGAUGAUUUAAUCAUUUAUAUGUAAAUAUUAUAUAACAAGAUGUACUAAAAAAAAUGUUAUAUACUAUCAUAAAUGUAGAGUUGUCCAUGGAUUGGACUAUUUGGCUCGGUCUAAAGGUUCGCCUAAAAAAUAGAAGAGUUUAGACAACAAUAUAGACUCGAAAAAUAGACUUAGGCAACAAAUAUACAUGCGUCCUCCUAUAUUGAUAACAAUAUCUACACUAAUUCAACUAAAACUCAAUCAGCUAAUUCCAUCGAUUUUAUAUUUAUUAAUUUUGAAUGGAUUAAUGGUAAAGUAAAGCGACGCGAUUCUAAUCACUUAUAUGUAAAUAUUAUAUAAUAAGAUGUACUAAAAAAUAUUAUAUACUGUGAUAAAUGGUCGGAUGGUAAGUUUUUAUUUUGAUGAAUAAAAGACUAUAACGGUAAAAUUAUUAGUUAAGCUCCUGUAUUAAUUAGGAGAAGGUUGCAAUUUGGAAAUUUUUUUGAAAAAAAUGAGUAAAUUGGUCUUUAUAUAUUUUGAAAUAUACAAAUUAACUCUUCUGUUAAAUUUUAUCUAUUAAAUGAUGACAUGAAACGUUAAAUCUAUAUGUUGAAAAUUAUUUUUUUAUGGGUAUAUAAAAAUAGUCACCCAACUAUAUCUUUUAUUCUAUUUUAAUUGUCCGACUAAGGAUUCAUUUUGAUUUAAGUUUACCUUCAAUCUGACAUGAUUUGGACACUCUAUUGCCCAAUCAUGCCGCAAUAGAUCACUUGGAUGUAUAAUGGGAUUCAAUUUCAUCGCACUGAGGUCUUGCUUUUUCAUUGGAGGAUUACAACUCCAUUGACUUUCUUCUUCUUUUUUUGUAUCUAGACUUGAUCAUGAGACAGGCCAUCUCAGUUCAACCCAAAAGUCCAUCCAAAAAGUGAGUGGGUUUGAACUAAAAUAUAAGCUCAAAAACUAGAAUUGGGCUAGAAAACAAAAUUUAUUUUCUAAAUAGAUCGAGCUUCGAGUAAGCUUUGUCAUAGUUUCUAUCCUUACCCUCGUUAGUGGCAGGGAAAGGGACUGAGAAGGGCUUUGCAACCGCUUUACACCCUCUCCUAAAACGGGUUGAGACUCUCCAAAAUUCAUAAAAGCAUAAGUUAAAUAUAUAAUAAAUUUAUAAUUUAACCUAAAAAUUAUUAAAAUUUUAAUUUAAUCGUUUUAAAUGCCAUAAAAUAUAAUUAAAACCUAUUUUAACACUCAUAAAAAAUUAUUUUAAUCUCGAUUUCUAUAAAAGAUUUUCCAACUUCACCCCACAUUUAUCUAAUUACAUACUAGUUAGUUCAAUAAUUCAUUGGUAUUUUCAUGUUAUUCAUUGUUUUGAAUAAAUCGAAAAGUAAAAGCAUAAACACAACAUCCUUUCCAAAGCUCCAUUUCAAUUUUUUCAUUAUUCAUCACAUGUUUCUUACAAAAAACAUAAAAAUGAAAUAAAAUAUUCGUUCACAUGUUGAUUUUUCAUACAUGUAGCAUGUAAGAAAACAAAGUAACAAUGGAAGCCCCAACCAAUGAUCCAAGAACUGGCAAGGUUGCGGCAGCCACGCUGGAAUCUGGUCCUGAUGCUGUGGCGGAACCAGGAGAGGAGCUAGGAAUAGAACCACCGGCGGAAGGGGAAGGAGCAGGUGAACCGGCAGCCAUGACGGCGCUCAUUGAGGCGGCAGCAACAAUGAUGGCGGUGGAGACCUUCUUCAUGUCCAUGGCGUAUAAAGGGAUUAUUAAACGCACCGAAAAUAAAUGAGACCUGCGUUUAAUUACUGGUGAAUGGCUAUCGCCGGUGAUUGUUAUUACUUGCUUUGUUAUUGCAGGUCUGAAGAACAACGAUGGUGGGGAGGAUCAUUUAUAGGUGAAAAUUCAUGGCUAUUUUUAGUGACGAAAUUUUUAAAAAAAUUUACGUGUUUGGUUUUUGCAUGGUUUGCGGGAUAGACAUGCAAAUUUUUGAAUUUGUUUUAGCGAUUUAGACUGGAUUUUAAGGUGGGGAUUUUUUUUGGUAAGAGAAACAAGAGUAGUAAAUUACAGAAGAAUAAUUACCUCAAUCAAUAUCAUUUUGUAAAUUAUUCAGAAGAAUAAUCGAAUCAAUUUACUAUUUAAUCAAUUCAACCAAUCAAUCUAAUGAAAUUUGAAGAAUUUGGUUUCUCAAGGUGGAUAUACACUUCGGUUCAAUUACUAUUUAAUCAAUUGGGUCCUUAUUGGCUAAAAAUGAAUUCUUUUAGAAAAAUAUAUAUUUAAAAUUUUAGAGUUAGGACUAAAUUGAUAGAUUUUGUACAUAUUGAGGGUCAAAUUUAUUAUUAUUUUUAGAAUUAUAAUUAAAAUGACAAAUUUUGUAAACAUUGAGGGCUAAAUUUGUUGAUUUUUUUAUAUUUAGUAUCAAAUCGAUAGAAUGUAUAAAUAUUAGAGAGCUAAUUUUGUUACUAGACUAAUAAAACAAGCCCACAUCAGCUCAGAGUAACUAAAUCGAAAAAAUUAAUAGUUGGGUAACCAAAUAGAACAAAAGACAUAGUUGGGUGACUAUUUUUAUAGUUUACCCAUAAAAAUCAUUUUCAGCAAAGAUUUAACGUGCCACAUCAUCAUUUUACAUAUAAAUUUAACGGCAGUCUAAUUUGCACGUUUUGAAAUAUAUAUAAGGGCUAAUUUGUUCAUUUUUCAAUAAAGGGACCGAAAUGUAAUCUACCGCUAAGUUCAGUGGCUUCCCUAGUACUUUUACGGACUAUAAAGGAAUUGAACUUGAAUAAAUGUCUUUAUUUAUGUUCAUUUAUUUAUUUUUUAAAGCUUAUUUGUGUUUAAUUUGUGUUCGUUAAGUAAAAUCAUUUUCGUGUUCAUUUAUUUAUAACUAUGUGUGUUGAUCUUUGCUCGUUUAAACUUAGUGAGGAUUAUAGAAAAGGUUGGCAAGAGAGGGGGAUGGUUGUUUAAACGGUGGUGAGGUGCUGGAAGAGAGAGGUUGAAGAAGAAAUCUAUCAAGGGAGGGGUAUUUAUAGGCAAGGAUGAUCACCCCUUGGCAUUAGGCCCUAACACGUGCCUUCACUGGUCUUGUCAUGUUUGGUCCCUUAGAAAACAUUGUAGAACUUCUAAAUAAGCAAUAAUGGGAUCAAUAUGGACAUAGUAAAGCUCUACGUGGGUCUUACUUGUGUUCCAUGAAAAAGAAUGACUCAACACCUAUCAUUGGCAAGGUAGAUUAGAGGUGAGCCACGUGUAAACCAUACAUACGUUUGCAAGGGCCAUGGCUGGUGAAGUGUUGCCUAUGAGCGAAGUUAUAGUCGAGAAGGUUGUGUGUGACACCCCACACCCAAUUUGAUCAUCAGAUCCGAAUGUGUCACAUCACAUUACAUCAUCGAAACAACUCAAACUAACUUGACAUAAAUUUGCAAAAUUAAAUUCUUAUUCAUCAUUCAGAACAAUAAGCCUAUUCAUUAUGAUCAACAAAUAACAUUUGGCAUACAUAAGAAUCAAUUCCAUCUACAUACAAGGGGUUAUAAUGAGUUAAUAUAUUAGAAUUAGGGCUUGAAUCCAAACUCAAAUGUCAUAUUUCAAGUUAUGUCUCCAGACAUGGAGAAUCUCGAGACAGGUCAUAAAUUAUUUUGGAAAUUUUAGCUUCAAAGUUAACAUGUCUCGAGUUGAGUCUCGAGGCAAGGUCAUUUAUGUCUCGAGAUUGACCUCUCAUGUUUUCCUAUUUUUGGUUCGAUGUUUGAAUGUCUUGAGGCAAGAGCUCUUGUAUCAAGACUUGGAAUAAGGAAAAAAAAUUAAUUUAGCUUCGAUGUACUUCUAUCUUGAGACAAAGACCACUUGUCCCGAAACCUAGGAGCAAUUCUCUCGAGACUAAUUAGUUAUGUAUCGAGGCAUCGGGCUCUUGAAUGAAAAAAUUAAGAGAAAUUCUUUUUAACAGUAUUGAGGCAUGUUUGCCUUAUAUCGAGACUUAAUGACCAAAUGAACAAAAUUUCCCACUUCUAACUACCCAAAACCUUAGGCAGUUGAACUCAAACUGACCUAAAGCUUACCUUAAACCAUAAUCUCAAAUUAACCCAUCUAAACACAUUUAACGAUCACUAAAUUAUAAUCUUCCAUGCAUAAACACUUAAUAAACCAAUUCAAACAAUCAAACCAACAUAAACAAGCAUAAUUAACUAAUAGUCAAAAGAUAAAAUCUAACCUCUUAAGCAUUAUGGGUCACUUACUUAAAGUGGCAAAACUAAAUUAGGCAUCAAACCAACCAACCUAAGUACAUGUCAUAUGACUUCAAAACUGUUAAAAAGAAUUUCUCUUAAUUUUUGCAUACAAAACAUGAUUGUAAUGGCUUUUUGAGUUGAGUUGGAGAGUUGGAUGCUUGACCGCGAAAUAUUUAUAGCUUUUAUCCACAACUUACGUGUUUAUCUAAUAAAAAUAACCAACCAACCAACAUAACUUGAAUUCAAUUAUAAACCUAACAAAUCUAAUAAAAAUAAGUAAUAAGAAAACCCAAGUUAACCAACCAACAUUUCACAUUUAUCUAAUUACAUACUAGUUUGUUCAAUAAUUCAUUGUUAUUUUCAUGUUAAUCAUUGUUUUGAAUAAAUGGAAAAGUAAAAGCAUAAACACAACAUACUUUCCAAAGCUCCAUUUCAAUUUUUUCAUUAUUCAUCACAUGUUUCUUACAAAUAAAAUAAAAAAUAAAAUAAAAUAUUCGUUCACAUGUUCAGUUUUGAUACAUGUAGCUUACUGCAGCAUGUAAGAAAACAAAGAAACAAUGGAAGCCCCAACCAAUGAUCCAAGAACAGGCAAAGUGGCGGCAGCGACGCUGGAAUCCGGGCCUGCUGCUGGGGCGAAAGCGGGAGAGGAGCUAGGGCUAGAACCACCUGCGGAAGGGGAAGGAGCAGGUGCAUCAGCGGCCAUGACGGCGCUCAUUGAGGCGGCAGCAACAAUGAUGGCGGUGGAGACCUUCUUCAUGUCCAUGGCGUAUAAAGGGAUUAUUAAACGCACCGGAAAUGAAUGAGACCUGCGUUUAAUAACUGGUGAAUGGG